rnacentral:lncRNA from 1 species
CUACAAAUCAGAGACUCAGGUAGCACAAACUUUUGGAGGAAGUCUGCUGAGAAAUGCAUGGAGCUGGGGGCUUGGGAAGAGAGAAACUUCUUCCAUUCUGAGUUACCUGUGAAAUAGGCUGCCUGUUCCUAAAUGACCCAUUUUAGGUCUGUCUCAGUGUAGCCUUGCUUCUGGCCACUUGUCACAGAGCAGAAUUUCUGAGAGACUCUACUGCCCUUCUAUACUCUCCACUGAUAAAAAUAUUUAAACAGGAUGACUCAGAUGGACUUGGGAUAUGAGAACUGAAACCAUAAUGUCCUUCUACUUUUAAGUUGACUAGAAUACCCAAAAUCACAUUAGUAAAGAGUUGUACUUUGGACUCCACACUCUGUUAAAAGGCAAAUAUAGGUAAAGGGAAACAACCUUUAUUAGCCACUCACCUCUUGAAUAAAGAGUGUCUUAUCAGAAUUCUUCCAGGAGUUCCCGUCAUGGCUCAGUGGUUAACGAAUCCGACUAGGAACCAUGAGGUUGCGGGUUCGAUCCCUUGGCUUUGCUCAGUGGGUUAAGGAUCCGGCAUUGUCAUGAGCUGUGGUGUAAGCUGCAGACGUGGAUUGGAUCCCGAGUUGCUGUGGCUGUGGUGUAGGCCAGCAUCUACAGCUCCAAUUCGACCCCUAGCCUGGGAACUCCAUAUGCUGCGGGAGGGGCCCAAGAAAUGGCAAAAAGACAAAAAAAAAACAAAAACAAACAAACAAAAAAACUCUUCCAAAGAAAACAAAAACAAGGUGCACCUAUCUCCAAAUUUUGCAAAGGAAUAAUAUUUUCCUGAUUUUCUGACUUUCUUUGCUAAAAAUUUUUAGAGUUUUCUUCUCCUAAACUUCUUCUUAAAUAUUCAAUUUUAAAAUAGUAUUUUUCUGGAGUUUCCAUGUUGCUCAGUAGGUUAAGGAUCUGGCAUUGUCACUGCAGUGGCUCAGCAAAUAAAUUAAAAACAAAAACAAACAAAAAACAAAAAACAGUACUUUCCCUAAAAAUAUCUUUUUUUUUUUUUUUUUUUGUCUUUUAGGCCCAUCCACGGCAUAUGUAGGUUCCCAGGCUAGGGGUCCAAUUGGAGCUGCAGCAGCCGGCCUACACCACAGCCACAGCAACACAAGAUCCGAGGUAGGUCUGCAUCCUACACCACAGCUCACAGCGACAAUGGAUUCUUAACCCACUGAGCAAGGCCUGGGAUCGAAACCAUAUCCUCUUGGAUGCUAGGCAGGUUCAUUAACUGCUAAGCCAAGAUGGGAACUCCUAAAAACAUCUUUUAAUAAUAGGCAUUAUGAGAGGAAUAGAAAAAGAGAUAUACAGAAAAUGCUUCCCAAUAGAUCUGAAGCUAUCAUUAAAAAACAAAACAAGUCUUUAAGCCAUUUUGAGUUUAUUUUCAUGCAUGGUGUGAGGGUGUGUUCUAGUUUCAUUGAUUUAUAGGCAGCUGUCCAGGUUUCCCAGCAAUACUUGCUGAAAAGACUGUCUUUUUCCCAUUUUAUGUUCUUGCCUCCUUGUCAAAGAUUAAUGGACCAUAGGUGUCUGGGUUUAGUUCUGGGUUCUCUAUUCUGUUCCAUUGGUCUGCAUGUCUGUUUUGGGACCAGUACCACACUGUCUUGAUGACUGUGGCUUUGUAAUAGUGCCUGAAGUCUGGGAGAGAGAUGCCUCCUGCUUGGUUUUUGUUCCUCAGAAUGGCUUUGGCAAUUCUGGGUCUUUUGUGGUUCCAUAUAAAUGUUUGGAUUGUUUGUUCUAGGUCUGUGAAAAAUGUCAUGGGCAAUUUGAUAGGGAUUGCAUUGAAUCUGUGGUUUGAUUUGGGUAAUGUGGCCAUUUUUACAAUAUUAAUUUUUCCAACCCAGGAGCAUGGAAUAUCUUUCCAUUUCUUGACAUCUUCUUGAAUUUCCUUGAUUAAUGUUUUAUAGUUCUCAGCAUGUAAGUCCUUUACCUCCUCGGUCAGGUGUAUUCCCAGGAUUUGAUUUUGGGGGGUGUGCAAUUUUAAAAGGUAUUGUGUUUUUGUAUUCCUUUUCUAAUAUUUCAUUGUUAGUAUACAGAAAUGUGACUGAUUUCUCAACUUAGAAUAGAUUUACAAGGAGAUCCUGCUGAAUAGCAUUGAGAACUUUGUCUAGAUACUCAUGUUGCAACAGAAGAAAGGGUGGGGGAAAAAUGUAAUUGUAAUGUAUACAUGUAAGGAUAACCUGACCCCCUUGCUGUACAGUGGGAAAAUUAAAGAAACUAUUAUAAAAAAAUAAAAAAUAAACUUCCAGUCAAAAAAAAAAAAAGAAAUGUGACUGAUUUCUGAAUGUUAAUCUUAAAUCCUGCUACUUGGCUGAAUGUGUUGAUCAGUUCAAGUAGUUUUUGGGUUGAGUCCUUACGGUUUUCUACAUAUAGUAUGAAAUCAUUUGCAUACAGUGACAGUUUUACCUCUUCUCUGCCUAUUUAGGUGCCUUUUAUUUCUUUUGUUUGUCUGAUUACUGUGGCUAAGACUUCCAGUACUAUGUUGAAAAACAGUGGUGAGAGUGGGCAUCUUUGUCUUGUUCCAGAUUUUAGUGGGAAGGCUUUCAGCUUUUCUCCAUUGAAUAUUGUUUUUGCUGUGGGUUUGUCGUAAAUGGCUUUAAUUAUGUUAAGGUGGGUUCCCUCUAUACCCACUGUGGUAAGAGUUUUGAUCAUGAAUGGAUAUUGGACUUUGUCAAAUGCUUUCUCUGCAGGUAUUGAGAUGAUCAUGUGGUUUUUGACUUUUCUUUUGUUAAUGUGUAACUGGGUCACCAUGCUGUACAGUAGGAAAAAAUAAUGUAUUGGGAAAUAACAAUUUAAAAAAAUUUUUAAAAUUAAAAAAAAAUAAAAUUUAGAUAACAUGGGAGGCUUAUUAUAGUUUCCACCACAUAGACUAUACCAACAAUUUACAUAACGGCUCUUGGACACUAAGCUCUGGCAGCUAUAAUUUCUUAGAAGUUUAAUCCCAGUGUUUUUAUUUUUCUCCGUGCAUCUUCUUACAUUAUAGAUAAAACAUUACAAUUCAGAAACCACACUCAGAAACAAUCAAGUUAACCCAUAACUUCUGGAACAUUCAAGUUAACUCUUACUAUACUUCUGACUGGUAGAGGUAAUUUCUAAUUGUUGAGGAAAUUUCUGUCUUCUCCUUGUAGGUGUGGAAACUGCUCCUGAAUUUCACUGGCCAUCAGUGGUGACAGGGCUCAGAACUAAGACUAAGGCUUGGGUACCAGUUUAUCAAUUCUCCUCCCCUUCAUCAUGAAUCCCAAAGCACCUCAGAAGGGCAGCCAUUGUAUGUCCAAUGCCAUACAAUUCCCAUAUAGACUCCCAGGAGGGGGAAUGGUGGUCCUGGGAUGUGAGUACCACAACCCUCUACUUUCUGAAGCAAAACAAAAUGCAAUACAUCAACAUGAGGAGGCACUACCCAACAUUAUUUUUUAACUUAAAAUGUACCUCAGUAAAAUCAGAAUGUCAACCCAUGCAGUCUUUGCUCUUAACCAUUUUACUUAGCUCUCAUUCCCCAAUAAUAAAAUAGCAGCAUAUUUUGUAUAAUGUGAUACAUACAUUACUGAAAGUUCCAUCAUUUCUCAAAAUCUGCUUUUCCUCCUAAGUUACUGAUGCUGGUUACUGACACAACCCAUCCAACCUAUCUAACUAAGCCAGAUACCUGCUUCUAAAUUCCCUAAGGCUAAUCAUUAUCACUAUUAAUCUGUCAAUUCUAUUUCCUGCAUGUCUCUCAGUCUUUCCUCUCCUGUCUACUGCUUCUGCUCUGGCCUUGUCCACUCUCCCUGGGCCCCUGCAACAGCCUCCUCCAUGGAUGCCCUGUCACUUCUUUCACAUCCUUUAUCCAUUCUUUCUCCAAUGAGCCUAAAACACAACCUGAUUAUACUACUCUCACUGAUAAAACCCUCUUAUGAGGUCCAUCCUCUAUACCAGGGCUUAUCAAAAUAUUUCACGAAUGUAUUCAUCAUUCUAAGGGUCUUUUAAAAAGUAAAGAUUUGUGGCUGCCACCCUGGCCUUACCCUACCAGAAUUUCUGGGAAUGGGGCCCAGGAAUCUGAAUUUUGAUAAACUCUCCAGGAGAUUUUUACAGCAUGCAAGUUAGAGCAAUAGAGAUGUGAGAAGAAAUUCCACCUCCCAUUGAGGCUGCAAAGGUCCCCAGGAUCCGGUCUUACCUCCUCUCCUGCUGCCUCACACGUGCUCUCCCACAACACUCAGUUGUGCUGCAGCUGCGCUAGGCCACUCGCAUUGCCUUUGCAUGUGUAGCUGUCUGUCUGUUCUGUCCUGUGCGCUCUGGCCAUCUUCUGAGGUACAUCUCCUAUACUGUCCACUCCGUGAGGCCCUCCUUGAAUACACCAUGCUAAGCCAAGUAAUCCUUUCCUUCUUUCUCCCUUUGCCCCAGGAUGAUACCUUCAGAUGGCACUGUAGCUAUUUGUUUACCUGUCUGCCUCCCUUGCUGCACUGAGAACUCCUUAAGAAGUAAAGCCUGUCUUUUUCAGAUUUUACCUUCAUUUCUUUUUCAGAUCUUACUCCACUGGAACAGAGAGAACACUGACCAAUUUUUGCUGCGUGAACAAUCUUGUGUUUACCAAGCUCUGUGAAACAGACAAUUCCACAUCAGGACAGAGCAGCAGGAGUGGGUAUCAUUAGAGAUGACUUUCAUAUCAAGAAAUGGAGCCUCAUCACAAACCACAACCAGGUCAUCCCUUUCCUGCCUAAAGUCAAAAAGACCUCUAAAACUUUUCCCACUGCCGCACUCUGGGUCAGUUAGGGUGAAACUUCUUGGCAAAGCUGCCUUUAGCAGUUUCUCUUUCCACACUGUAAAAGCUGUAGACGGAAAUUGAAACAAUGUUUGAAAUACAAGUCUGUGUAGUUAGCAUAGAAAGCUUGCAAUUAGAGAAAUAAACUGAGCCACUGACAGCAGGGAUGCUGGAUGUUGCAUUAAAUAGGCUGCUUUUGUAAACACAUGACAGAAGCUAACUUUAACCAGUCAAGUAAAAUCUUCUAAUGAUACUAGGUAUUUUACGUAUCUCACACUUAAGAAUGCAGCUGGAGAUGAGGGACAUGCAGAACUGGGGGCGUGAACACACUGGCAAUCCCCCCACUUCUCAGCUUUGCUCCAUUCAUCACUUGCUACACAUACACACUAUGGAAAGCAUAGUUGCUGUAACUCCUGAGUUUCAGAUGUCAUAGUUGUAGACUCUAAAGAGAUCCUGACAGAACGCUCAAGGGAGCAGCUCAAUAACCUGAGUCAAUAGUUGAGUCAAUAGUCAAUAGUUGAGUCAAUGACUGCGUUUUCCUGGUUAAUUCAGUAUGACAGGGACACCAUAGAACCACACUGGAAUGUGGGGCUCCAGCUAGUUAUUUGAAAGGCAGAGAUAAGCGGAGUGGGAAAUCUUUUAAGUGAUCACCGGAGAGAAUAACCUCACUGAAACUGGAAGCAAAGAGGAGAGUUUAAAUUGUGAGUGAUUCAGGUUGGAGAUGUGGAAUGGGACAAGUGAACAAGAAGGCCCGGGCCAGGACUAUGCCAGAGGCUGGGCCAAGAUCUCCCCUGGUGAAAGCCUUUAACAAUGCCAGAGUGAGGAACUGACAGUCAAGCUCAAGGUUAUCUGCAUAUUACAUAGCAUUCGUUGCUGUGCCUGCUAAAGUUAAAUAUUCAUGCUCUAAAUAAGAAAUUUGUUUCAGAGUAGUUUUAGUUUUUAACUAAAUCUUUGUGUCAUCUUUCUAAAGCUCUGAGAAGAGAAACAUCUUCUUUAAAGAGAGUAAACAGUUGCAUAAAACAGUAAGUUUAGACCCUGAUAUGUCUGGCUUUCCACUUGAACACCUCUACCAUUCAUGGGCUCUCGGACUACGGAGAAAGUUCAGUUCUGACUGCCCCAGAGCCUUAGAUACUCCAUAUGUUUUUCUUAAUAAUGGCCACCUGUUAUGUAUUUUAGGUUAUUUAGUCCAAGUUGUAAUUGCCCAUCCUGCAACUAUUUGUUGAUA